rnacentral:rRNA from 1 species
AGAACGAACGCUGGCGGCAUGCCUAAUACAUGCAAGUCGAACGAACUCUUCGGAGUUAGUGGCGCACGGGUGCGUAACGCGUGGGAAUCUGCCCCUUGGUUCGGAAUAACAGUUGGAAACGACUGCUAAUACCGGAUGAUGACGAAAGUCCAAAGAUUUAUCGCCAAGGGAUGAGCCCGCGUAGGAUUAGCUAGUUGGUGAGGUAAAGGCUCACCAAGGCAACGAUCCUUAGCUGGUCUGAGAGGAUGAUCAGCCACACUGGGACUGAGACACGGUCCAGACUCCUACGGGAGGCAGCAGUGGGGAAUAUUGGACAAUGGGCGCAAGCCUGAUCCAGCCAUACCGCGUGGGUGAAGAAGGCCUUCGGGUGUAAAGCCCUUUGUGGGAAAGAAAAGCAA